rnacentral:lncRNA from 1 species
UUUGAUUUAGGAUUAGGAUUUGGUUAGGAUUUUAUUUAGGAUUAGGAUUUGGUUAGGAUUUGAUUUAGUAUUUAAGAUUAGGAUUAGGAUUUCAUUAUGAUUUAAUUAAGAUUUACUUUAGGAUUAGGAUUUGAUUUAGGGUUAGGAUUUGGUUUAGGAUUUAGGAUUUGGUUAGGAUUUGGUUUAGGAUUUAGGAUUUGGUUAGGAUUUAGAAUUAGGGUUAGGAUUUGAUUAGGAUUUGAUUUAAUAUUAGGGUUUAGAAUUUGGUUAAGAUUUGAUUUAGAAUUGGAUUUUGAUUUAAGAUUUAGGAUUUGAUUAGGGUUUGAUUUAGGAUUAAGGCUUGGUUUAGGAUUUAAGAUUUAGUUAGGAUUUGGUUUAGGAUUUAGAAUUUGAUUAGGAUUUGAUUUAGGAUUUAGAAUUUGCUUUAGGAUUUAAGAUUUAGUUUAGGGUUUAAGAUUUGAUUAGGGUUUGAUCAAGAUUUGAUUUAGGAUUUAGGAUUUUAUUUGAAUUUGUUGAGGAUUUAAGAUUUAGUUAGUUUUUUGCCUAAAGUUUGAAUGAAGUAAGAUUUCAACUAGGAUUAAAUUAAGAUUGAAUUGAGAUGUAUUUGAAAUAUGUUUGUAAUCAUUCUAAUAUUUCUUUAAGAUUUCUUAUUGUUUCUUUGGAAUUCUUUUGAAGUUUCUCUGAAUUUGAUUAAAGCUUGUUUAGUAUUGUUAGUGUUCUAUUAGAAUUAGGAUUUUGUUUUUAAAAUUUUUAUUCUACCUUCCACAACUAGGUGCCCGGAGCAUUCUCAAGCAAGACUUCACGUAUUACGACACCGGAGUCUAUGAAGAUCCACCUUAUAUUUUACGUAUCUUUUCUUAAGUCAUUUAAGACAUGCAAUAUUUUGGGAAGAAAACAAAUGAUACUUCUUUUUAUAGAAGUGGAUAACAAUGAAAAGUUUAAGGUAGAAGAAGUCUUAGACUGAAGGUGGUGCUGAAAUAGGUUAGAUUAUUUUGUUCAUUAGCACGGAUAUGAUAUUAAUGAACGCAUAUGGGAGCCAUAAAAAAAUCUUGCAAAUGCAACAAAGAAAGUUGAAGCUU